rnacentral:rRNA from 1 species
UACAGAGGGUGCAAGCGUUAAUCGGAAUUACUGGGCGUAAAGCGCGCGUAGGUGGUUUGUUAAGUCGGGGGUGAAAUCCUGGAGCUCAACUCCAGAACUGCCUUCGAUACUGGCGAUCUCGAGUUCGGGAGAGGUGAGUGGAACUGCGAGUGUAGAGGUGAAAUUCGUAGAUAUUCGCAAGAACACCAGUGGCGAAGGCGGCUCACUGGCCCGAUACUGACGCUGAGGUGCGAAAGCGUGGGGAGCAAACAGG